AACGAACGCUGGCGGCAGGCCUAACACAUGCAAGUCGAGCGCCCCGCAAGGGGAGCGGCGGACGGGUGAGUAACGCGUGGGAAUAUGCCCUUUGCUACGGAAUAGUCUCGGGAAACUGGGGGUAAUACCGUAUACGCCCUUUGGGGGAAAGAUUUAUCGGCGAAGGAUUAGCCCGCGUUGGAUUAGGUAGUUGGUGGGGUAAUGGCCUACCAAGCCGACGAUCCAUAGCUGGUUUGAGAGGAUGAUCAGCCACACUGGGACUGAGACACGGCCCAGACUCCUACGGGAGGCAGCAGUGGGGAAUCUUAGACAAUGGGGGCAACCCUGAUCUAGCCAGGCCGCGGGAGUGAUGAAGGCCUUAGGGUUGUAAAGCUCUUUCAGCUGGGAAGAUAAUGACGGUACCAGCAGAAGAAGCCCCGGCUAACUCCGU
rnacentral:rRNA from 1 species